rnacentral:rRNA from 1 species
CCUACGGGUGGCAGCAGUGGGGAAUAUUGCACAAUGGGGGAAACCCUGAUGCAGCGACGCCGCGUGAGUGAAGAAGGAUUUCGGUAUGUAAAGCUCUAUCAGCAGAGAAGAAAAUGACGGUACGUGAUCAAUAAUGCCCGGCUAACUUCGUGCCAGCAGCCGCGGUAAUACGUAGGGGGCAAGCGUUAUCCGGAUUUACUGGGUGUAAAGGGAGCGUAGACGGCAGGGCAAGUCUGAAGUGAAAUGCGGCGGCUUAACCCCAGAAUUGCUUUGGAAACUGUGAAGCUAGAGUGCAGUAGAGGUAAGUGGAAUUCCUAGUGUAGCGGUGAAAUGCGUAGAUAUUAGGAGGAACACCAGUGGCGAAGGCGGCUUACUGGACUGUAACUGACGUUGAGGCUCGAAAGCGUGGGUAGCAAACAGGAUUAGAUACCCGAGUAGUC